GCCGGGGCCACUGUUCCUCUUCUUCCCCCUCCCCCGGGCCGGCGGUUCAGCCGAGAGCCGGAGCCUUCCCCCGCCCCGACAGCCCGGGGGGGUGGGAAACCCGUAAAGCGGGGGCAGCAAACCCCCCCCGCCGCUGCUGCAUAAGCCUUUCCCAGCCCGCCCCGCCAGCACCUCCUCAGCCUCCGGGAGUUAACAGCUCAUUAACGAACUGAUUGUCACCUGGGGGGGUAGGGGGAAGCCAAGCAAGCUGAAAGCCACAGCAGUUAUUUCAGGUGCGGGAUUCUUCCUUCCCGAGUACCUUACUCCCUUCCAGCCAACCCCCAUGAAAGCCAUUAGGGAAGGAACUACCCCCCUGAAGAGCUGCUGCCAGGGGCAAAAUGAAGCCCCCCCUUGUAUGACCAACCCGGGAGAGAGGCAUGGGGCUCCUGGAAAAUCUCUCUACACUACAGCCCCCAACUGCAUGGGACAGAGCAUUGCUAUUUGAAGAGAAAGUUAAUAAAUAAUUCUGGCAGUCAUAAAGGGGGUGCAAAAAAAUGACUUUGUCUGGAAUCAUGUGCUGCAUCAAUGUACUUUGCCCAGAGCAGCGUAUCAUGCUAGAAGAAAUCUAAGGGAAGCAGAGGUGGUCUUUGCAGAAGUCACAUCAAGGACUAAAGAAGUAUUUUCAGAAAGAAGAGGACUCGUAAGACUUUACCUUUUCCAGACGGAGCUCCUUUGCCUUUAUUCUUUCCAGCGUUUCCGGUUUUCUACUCUAAACUGAGGCUGUUCUUCCAAAAGGGAUUCAUCCGCUGCUGUGUCUGCUUGUGAAGAGACAGUGUUUCAGCAUGUGUGGUCUUUCACACAUGGAAGGAAAGAAAAAGAGUGACUUAAAAAUAAACAAAAAAAACUGUUAAAAAGGGUUUUUUUGACAUUGCACAGGUUUAGUUAAUUUUUUCAACAAAUAUUACCUCGUUUUUGACAAUAACUUCUACCUGUGUCCGAAAUGUCUGAAAAAAGAGUUUGAGCCAACCCUGCAGUUCAGUUCAGACACAUGAUGAUCCAGAUCUGUCUUUGAUUGCUGGGAUCUAUAGGUCCUGUGGACAACUGUCAGCUGACUCUGAAAGCAUUUCAGAGUUUAGGAGUAAGAAGAUCAGGGCAAGCUGUAGCCAUAGAACUGAGGAAGGGGAUCAGGUUUGUUUUAAGCCAGUGCAGAUCUGAUGUUACUGUGGGACACCAAGAGGCAGAAAUUCUGUGAGAAGACUUCUAUUAGCGGCAUCUGACUCUGCAGCCGGUCACUACUGAUGACAUUCCCUGGGAUGUUCAGCCAUUGGUAUGCAGACUGCUUGCUUUUCCUCAUCUACAGUUACGUUGUUAGAGAACUUUUAAGGAGUACAUUGUAAAUCAAAGACAAGAGGCACUUUUCCCUUGGGAUCCUGCUUGAACUCUUGCUGGUUUACUUAUUGAGCUCCUCAGAAGUUCCACAGACAGACUGGGGAGUGCUUCUGGUGUCUUGGCCCGCAGAUAGCUUACUAAGCAGAUUUUUUUUUUUUUUUUUAAAGUCAGGAAUAUCAGGAGCCCUACAGAUCCUGGCAGCCCUCUCAGGAAGGAGUGUCCAGGAUUUUCAGAUUCUUUGACCCAAUAGUCUAGAAAUUAGAGAAUCACAGAUGCUCCCCUCCCUCUCCCACUAUGUGAGCUGGAAGGGAACAAACAAGCCCUAUGGCAAACCCAGGGGCUUUUGAAAUUGGAAGCCUGCACUGUCUUAAUCUUCCUCAGUCCUAAUUUGUUGAAAUUAGCAAGCCAACAUUUUUCAGAUUGGUGUUCUGUGGAGAGCUUAGCAAAUAUCUUUCAUUGCAGUUUGGAAUGAAGACAGAAUUGCUGAUUUUCAGAGUAAUCUGCAAUGUGAAUUUACUGUUCUCUCUUCCUGCCUCUGGUUUGGGAAGUGUCAGAAUUGUGUCUUUGGAAAGACAGACAGGCAAAUACAGGUCUGAACAAGAGGUAAUUAAUAAUUGUCUGCAGAUAUUACAGUGGCUAGUUUGAAGAGGAAAAGCCUCUGACAGAUUAAAAAAUAUGCAAUUCCAAAAAUGGUUCUAACCUUUGCCAUGAGAACAUAAGAGAUUUAAAGGAAAAACUGAUAUUAAAACUACAGCGAUAAAUUAUAUGUGGAGAUUUGCUAAAGUAUAUAUAGUAUGACCACUGUUACGCCUUACUACUUUAGCACUUUUUUAGGGAUCAGUUUUACUGAACAUGUUGAAGAUGCAAUGUUUGGCUGUUGAGUUGAUUAAACUGAGCAAAACCAGUUUUCCCUAAACAACAGGAAUAAAAAACAAACAUACCUUUGACUAGGAAAUAAUUUCUUAAACUCAAAUACCAUAAACUGGAAUUCAAGAGAGAGCCUGAAUCAGAUUAUUUUAUCUACCAGCAUCUUUAAGAUGAAGUGUAUCCACAGUCCUCAGAGGCAAUAAAGAGACAGCCAAGCUGAUUUAAAUACUGGGCAAACAAACAGAAUGCAUAUCUGACCAUCCUGAUGUUUAUCUGUGGUCUAAAACAAUUCUACUCCCACGCAUGUGUUUAAGUUCUAUACUAUAAACUUUAAAGAACUUUUUUUUCAUCAAAGCAAAAAAAUUAAUGAUGAAGGAUGCUCCACUUUGGAGUAAGUAAGCAUUCAUUUGAUUAGUGUAUUUGAUAGUUAAGCCUGCUGAAAAGGAACAGAAAAUGCAAUUGCCAAUGUAAAAAGAGAAAUAAUCAAUUAUUGGUAUCCAGUCCAUGGACCUUGCUUUAUCAACUAGGGGGGAAAAAGAAAUUCUGAUUGUUAUUAGUUCUUACUUUCAGCUAAAGAAGCUACUUUUUUUGGCAAAAUUGGUACAGGUUCUUUGCAGCUUUCACCUGUGCAGGAUGACAAUUACUAAUACUUGGGCUGAUGGGUGCGCUUUAU